GACGAACGCUGGCGGCGUGCUUAACACAUGCAAGUCGAACGGAAAGGCCCUGCUUUUGUGGGGUGCUCGAGUGGCGAACGGGUGAGUAACACGUGAGUAACCUGCCCUUGACUUUGGGAUAACUUCACGAAACUGGGGCUAAUACCGGAUAGGAGACCCUGUUCCAUGGAGGGCGUUGGAAAGUCUCGGCUGGUGGGGCUGGAUGGGCGGCUGACGAGCUAGCUGGUGGGGUAGUGGCUUACCAAGGCUUUGGAGGGUAGCCGGCAUGGGAGGGUGACCGGCCACAUUGGGACUACGGUACGGCGCAGACGCGUACGGGAGGCAGCAGUGGGGAAUAUUGCACAAUGGGCGGAAGUCGGAUGAAGCGACGCCGCGUGCGGGAUGCCGGCCUUCGGGUUGAAAACCGCUGUCGCCUGUGACGAAGCGUGAGUGACGGUAAUGGGUAAAGAAGCACCGGCUAACUACGUG
rnacentral:rRNA from 1 species